AGUGAACGCUGGCGGUAGGCCUAACACAUGCAAGUCGAACGGCAGCACAGUAAGAGCUUGCUCUUACGGGUGGCGAGUGGCGGACGGGUGAGGAAUACAUCGGAAUCUACUUUUUCGUGGGGGAUAACGUAGGGAAACUUACGCUAAUACCGCAUACGACCUACGGGUGAAAGCAGGGGAUCUUCGGACCUUGCGCGAUUGAAUGAGCCGAUGUCGGAUUAGCUAGUUGGCGGGGUAAAGGCCCACCAAGGCGACGAUCCGUAGCUGGUCUGAGAGGAUGAUCAGCCACGCUGGAACUGAGACACGGUCCAGACUCCUACGGGAGGCAGCAGUGGGGAAUAUUGGACAAUGGGCGCAAGCCUUAUCCAGCCAUACCGCGUGGGUGAAGAAGGCCUUCGGGUUGUAAAGCCCUUUUGUUGGGAAAGAAAAGCAGCAGGUUAAUACCCCGCUGUUCUGACGGUACCCAAAGAAUAAGCACCGGCUAACUUCGUG
rnacentral:rRNA from 1 species